rnacentral:rRNA from 1 species
UGGGGAAUAUUGCACAAUGGGCGCAAGCCUGAUGCAGCCAUGCCGCGUGUGUGAAGAAGCCUUCGGUUGUAAGCACUUUCAGCGAGGAGGAAGGUGGUGAGCUUAAUACGCUCAUCAAUUGACGUUACUCGCAGAAGAAGCACCGGCUAACUCCGUGCCAGCAGCCGCGGUAAUACGGAGGGUGCAAGCGUUAAUCGGAAUUACUGGGCGUAAAGCGCACGCAGGCGGUUUGUUAAGUCAGAUGUGAAAUCCCCGGGCUCAACCUGGGAACUGCAUUUGAAACUGGCAAGCUAGAGUCUCGUAGAGGGGGGUAGAAUUCCAGGUGUAGCGGUGAAAUGCGUAGAGAUCUGGAGGAAUACCGGUGGCGAAGGCGGCCCCCCUGGANGAAGACUGACGCUCAGGUGCGAAAGCGUGGGGAGCAAACAGAUUAGNUACCCUGGUAGUCCACGCUGUAAACG